UACGUAGGGACCGAGCGUUGUCCGGAAUCAUUGGGCGUAAAGAGCGUGUAGGCGGCCACUUAAGUCCUGCGUGAAAUCUUGCGGCUCAACCGCAAGCGGUCGUGGGAAACUGGGUGGCUAGAGUGCGGGAGAGGAGAGUGGAAUUCCUGGUGUAGCGGUGGAAUGCGCAGAUAUCAGGAAGAACACCGUGGCGAAGGCGGCUCUCGUCGGAACGCACUGACGCUGAGACGACGAAGCGUGGGAGCAACAGG
rnacentral:rRNA from 1 species